GGUCAAGCGAACAAGUGCAUGUGGUGGAUGCCUUGGCGAUCACAGGCGAUGAAGGACGCGGUAGCCUGCGAAAAGCUACGGGGAGCUGGCAAACAAGCUUUGAUCCGUAGAUGUCCGAAUGGGGAAACCCACUCCUUUUGGAGUAUCCAUGGCUGAAUACAUAGGCCAUGUGAAGCGAACGCGGUGAACUGAAACAUCUAAGUAACCGCAGGAAAAGAAAUCAACCGAGAUUCCCAAAGUAGUGGCGAGCGAAAUGGGAUGAGCCUUGCACUCUUUAUUUGUAUUGUUAGCCGAACGCUCUGGAAAGUGCGGCCAUAGCAGGUGAUAGCCCUGUAGGCGAAAACAGUAUGAAAGAACUAGGUGUGCGACAAGUAGGGCGGGACACGUGAAAUCCUGUCUGAAGAUGGGGACCAUCCUCCAAGGCUAAAUACUCGUGAUCGACCGAUAGUGAACCAGUACCGUGAGGGAAAGGCGAAAAGAACCCCGGGAGGGGAGUGAAAUAGAUCCUGAAACCGCAUGCAUACAAACAGUCGGAGCCUCGUAAGGGGUGACGGCGUACCUUUUGUAUAAUGGGUCAGCGACUUACGUUCAGUAGCAAGCUUAACCGUAUAGGGCAGGCGUAGCGAAAGCGAGUCCGAAUAGGGCGUUCAGUUGCUGGGCGUAGACCCGAAACCAGGUGAUCUAUCCAUGGCCAGGAUGAAGGUGCGGUAACACGUACUGGAGGUCCGAACCCACUAACGUUGAAAAGUUAGGGGAUGAGCUGUGGAUAGGGGUGAAAGGCUAAACAAACCUGGAAAUAGCUGGUUCUCUCCGAAAACUAUUUAGGUAGUGCCUCGUGUCUCACCUUCGGGGGUAGAGCACUGUCAUGGUUGGGGGGUCUAUUGCAGAUUACCCCGCCAUAGCAAACUCCGAAUACCGAAGAGUGCAAUCACGGGAGACAGACAUCGGGUGCUAACGUCCGGUGUCAAGAGGGAAACAACCCAGACCGCCAGCUAAGGUCCCCAAAUAUAGCUAAGUGGGAAACGAAGUGGGAAGGCUAAAACAGUCAGGAGGUUGGCUUAGAAGCAGCCACCCUUUAAAGAAAGCGUAAUAGCUCACUGAUCGAGUCGUCCUGCGCGGAAGAUGUAACGGGGCUAAGCUAUAUACCGAAGCUGCGGAUGCGUGCUUAGCACGCAUGGUAGGAGAGCGUUCCGUAAGCCUGCGAAGGUGCCUUGUAAAGGGUGCUGGAGGUAUCGGAAGUGCGAAUGCUGACAUGAGUAGCGAUAAAGGGGGUGAAAGGCCCCCUCGCCGUAAGCCCAAGGUUUCCUACGCAACGUUCAUCGGCGUAGGGUGAGUCGGCCCCUAAGGCGAGGCAGAAAUGCGUAGCUGAUGGGAAGCAGGUCAAUAUUCCUGCACCAUUGUUAGAUGCGAUGGGGGGACGGAUCGCGGAAGGUUGUCCGGGUGUUGGAAGUCCCGGUCGCUGCAUUGGAGAAGGCGCUUAGGCAAAUCCGGGCGCGGAAUUCAAGGGUGUGGCGCGAGCUCCCUAGGGAGCGAAGCAAUUGGAAGUGGUUCCAAGAAAAGCCUCUAAGCUUCAGUCUAAUGAUGACCGUACCGCAAACCGACACAGGUGGGCGAGAUGAGUAUUCUAAGGCGCUUGAGAGAACUCGGGAGAAGGAACUCGGCAAAUUGGUACCGUAACUUCGGGAUAAGGUACGCCCUUGUAGCUUGACUGGCUUGCGCCAGAAGGGUGAAGGGGUUGCAAUAAACUGGUGGCUGCGACUGUUUAAUAAAAACACAGCACUCUGCAAACACGAAAGUGGACGUAUAGGGUGUGACGCCUGCCCGGUGCCGGAAGAUUAAAUGAUGGGGUGCAAGCUCUUGAUUGAAGUCCCGGUAAACGGCGGCCGUAACUAUAACGGUCCUAAGGUAGCGAAAUUCCUUGUCGGGUAAGUUCCGACCUGCACGAAUGGCGUAACGAUGGCCACACUGUCUCCUCCCGAGACUCAGCGAAGUUGAAGUGUUUGUGAUGAUGCAAUCUACCCGCGGCUAGACGGAAAGACCCCAUGAACCUUUACUGUAGCUUUGCAUUGGACUUUGAACCGAUCUGUGUAGGAUAGGUGGGAGGCUAUGAAACCGGAACGCUAGUUUCGGUGGAGCCGUCCUGAAAUACCACCCUGGUUUGUUUGAGGUUCUAACCUUGGCCCGUGAUCCGGGUCGGGGACAGUGCAUGGUAGGCAGUUUGACUGGGGCGGUCUCCUCCCAAAGCGUAACGGAGGAGUACGAAGGUACGCUAGGUACGGUCGGAAAUCGUGCUGAUAGUGCAAUGGCAUAAGCGUGCUUAACUGCGAGACCGACAAGUCGAGCAGGUGCGAAAGCAGGUCAUAGUGAUCCGGUGGUUCUGUAUGGAAGGGCCAUCGCUCAACGGAUAAAAGGUACUCUGGGGAUAACAGGCUGAUACCGCCCAAGAGUUCAUAUCGACGGCGGUGUUUGGCACCUCGAUGUCGGCUCAUCUCAUCCUGGGGCUGUAGCCGGUCCCAAGGGUAUGGCUGUUCGCCAUUUAAAGAGGUACGUGAGCUGGGUUUAAAACGUCGUGAGACAGUUUGGUCCCUAUCUCGCCGUGGGCGUUGGAUAUUUGAAGGGGCUGCUCCUAGUACGAGAGGACCGGAGUGGACGAACCUCUGGUGUACCGGUUGUCACGCCAGUGGCAUCGCCGGGUAGCUAUGUUCGGAAGAGAUAACCGCUGAAAGCAUCUAAGCGGGAAACUCGCCUUAAGAUGAGAUAUCCCUGGGGACUAGAUCCCCUUGAAGGGUCGUUCGAGACCAGGACGUUGAUAGGUCAGGUGUGUAAGCGCAGUAAUGCGUUCAGCUAACUGAUACUAAUUGCCCGUAAGGCUUGAUCCU
rnacentral:rRNA from 1 species